rnacentral:rRNA from 1 species
UCAUGGCUCAGAGCGAACGCUGCGGGCAGGCCUAACACAUGCAAGUCGAACGGAUCCUUCGGGAUUAGUGGCGGACGGGUGAGUAACACGUGGGAACGUGCCCUUUGGUUCGGAACAACUCAGGGAAACUUGAGCUAAUACCGGAUGUGCCCUUCGGGGGAAAGAUUUAUCGCCAUUGGAGCGGCCCGCGUAGGAUUAGCUAGUUGGUGGGGUAAAGGCCCACCAAGGCGACGAUCCUUAGCUGGUCUGAGAGGAUGAUCAGCCACAUUGGGACUGAGACACGGCCCAAACUCCUACGGGAGGCAGCAGUGGGGAAUCUUGCGCAAUGGGCGAAAGCCUGACGCAGCCAUGCCGCGUGAAUGAUGAAGGUCUUAGGAUUGUAAAAUUCUUUCACCGGGGACGAUAAUGACGGUACCCGGAGAAGAAGCCCCGGCUAACUUCGUGCCAGCAGCCGCGGUAAUACGAAGGGGGCUAGCGUUGCUCGGAAUUACUGGGCGUAAAGGGAGCGUAGGCGGACUGUUUAGUCAGAGGUGAAAGCCCAGGGCUCAACCUUGGAAUAGCCUUUGAUACUGGCAGUCUUGAGUACGGAAGAGGUAUGUGGAACUCCGAGUGUAGAGGUGAAAUUCGUAGAUAUUCGGAAGAACACCAGUGGCGAAGGCGACAUACUGGUCCGUUACUGACGCUGAGGCUCGAAAGCGUGGGGAGCAAACAGGAUUAGAUACCCUGGUAGUCCACGCUGUAAACGAUGAGUGCUAGUUGUCGGCAGGCAUGCCUGUCGGUGACGCAGCUAACGCAUUAAGCACUCCGCCUGGGGAGUACGGUCGCAAGAUUAAAACUUAAAG